rnacentral:rRNA from 1 species
GAGUAGGGCGGGACACGUGGUAUCCUGUCUGAAUAUGGGGGGACCAUCCUCCAAGGCUAAAUACUCCUGACUGACCGAUAGUGAACCAGUACCGUGAGGGAAAGGCGAAAAGAACCCCGGCGAGGGGAGUGAAAAAGAACCUGAAACCGUGUACGUACAAGCAGUGGGAGCCCUGAUUUAUCAGGGUGACUGCGUACCUUUUGUAUAAUGGGUCAGCGACUUAUAUUCUGUAGCAAGGUUAACCGAAUAGGGGAGCCGGAGGGAAACCGAGUCUUAACUGGGCGUUAAGUUGCAGGGUAUAGACCCGAAACCCGGUGAUCUAGCCAUGGGCAGGUUGAAGGUUGGGUAACACUAACUGGAGGACCGAACCGACUAAUGUUGAAAAAUUAGCGGAUGACUUGUGGCUGGGGGUGAAAGGCCAAUCAAACCGGGAGAUAGCUGGUUCUCCCCGAAAGCUAUUUAGGUAGCGCCUCGUGAAUUCAUCUCCGGGGGUAGAGCACUGUUUCGGCAAGGGGGUCAUCCCGACUUACCAACCCGAUGCAAACUGCGAAUACCGGAGAAUGUUAUCACGGGAGACACACGGCGGGUGCUAACGUCCGUCGUGAAGAGGGAAACAACCCAGACCGCCAGCUAAGGUCCCAAAGUCAUGGUUAAGUGGGAAACGAUGUGGGAAGGCCCAGACAGCCAGGAUGUUGGCUUAGAAGCAGCCAUCAUUUAAAGAAAGCGUAAUAGCUCACUGGUCGAGUCGGCCUGCGCGGAAGAUGUAACGGGGCUAAACCAUGCACCGAAGCUGCGGCAGCGACGCUGAUGCGUUGUUGGGUAGGGGAGCGUUCUGUAAGCCUGUGAAGGUGUGCUGUGAGGCAUGCUGGAGGUAUCAGAAGUGCGAAUGCUGACAUAAGUAACGAUAAAGCGGGUGAAAAGCCCGCUCGCCGGAAGACCAAGGGUUCCUGUCCAACGUUAAUCGGGGCAGGGUGAGUCGACCCCUAAGGCGAGGCCGAAAGGCGUAGUCGAUGGGAAACAGGUUAAUAUUCCUGUACUUGGUGUUACUGCGAAGGGGGGACGGAGAAGGCUAUGUUGGCCGGGCGACGGUUGUCCCGGUUUAAGCGUGUAGGCUGGUUUUCCAGGCAAAUCCGGAGAAUCAAGGCUGAGGCGUGAUGACGAGGCACUACGGUGCUGAAGCAACAAAUGCCCUGCUUCCAGGAAAAGCCUCUAAGCAUCAGGUAACAUCAAAUCGUACCCCAAACCGACACAGGUGGUCAGGUAGAGAAUACCAAGGCGCUUGAGAGAACUCGGGUGAAGGAACUAGGCAAAAUGGUGCCGUAACUUCGGGAGAAGGCACGCUGAUGGUAGGUGAAGCGACUUGCUCGUGGAGCUGAAAUCAGUCGAAGAUACCAGCUGGCUGCAACUGUUUAUUAAAAACACAGCACUGUGCAAACACGAAAGUGGACGUAUACGGUGUGACGCCUGCCCGGUGCCGGAAGGUUAAUUGAUGGGGUCAGCGCAAGCGAAGCUCUUGAUCGAAGCCCCGGUAAACGGCGGCCGUAACUAUAACGGUCCUAAGGUAGCGAAAUUCCUUGUCGGGUAAGUUCCGACCUGCACGAAUGGCGUAAUGAUGGCCAGGCUGUCUCCACCCGAGACUCAGUGAAAUUGAACUCGCUGUGAAGAUGCAGUGUACCCGCGGCAAGACGGAAAGACCCCGUGAACCUUUACUAUAGCUUGACACUGAACACUGGUCCUUGAUGUGUAGGAUAGGUGGGAGGCUUUGAAGUGUGGACGCCAGUCUGCAUGGAGCCGUCCUUGAAAUACCACCCUUUAAUGGCUGGUGUUCUAACGUUGGCCCCUUAUCGGGGUUGCGGACAGUGUCUGGUGGGUAGUUUGACUGGGGCGGUCUCCUCCUAAAGAGUAACGGAGGAGCACGAAGGUUGGCUAAUCCUGGUCGGACAUCAGGAGGUUAGUGCAAUGGCAUAAGCCAGCUUGACUGCGAGCGUGACGGCGCGAGCAGGUGCGAAAGCAGGUCAUAGUGAUCCGGUGGUUCUGAAUGGAAGGGCCAUCGCUCAACGGAUAAAAGGUACUCCGGGGAUAACAGGCUGAUACCGCCCAAGAGUUCAUAUCGACGGCGGUGUUUGGCACCUCGAUGUCGGCUCAUCACAUCCUGGGGCUGAAGUAGGUCCCAAGGGUAUGGCUGUUCGCCAUUUAAAGUGGUACGCGAGCUGGGUUUAGAACGUCGUGAGACAGUUCGGUCCCUAUCUGCCGUGGGCGCUGGAGAACUGAGGGGGGCUGCUCCUAGUACGAGAGGACCGGAGUGGACGCAUCACUGGUGUUCGGGUUGUCAUGCCAAUGGCACUGCCCGGUAGCUAAAUGCGGAAGAGAUAAGUGCUGAAAGCAUCUAAGCACGAAACUUGCCCCGAGAUGAGUUCUCCCUGAGACUUUAAGUCUCCUGAAGGAACGUUGAAGACGACGACGUUGAUAGGCCGGGUGUGUAAGCGCAGCGAUGCGUUGAGCUAACCGGUACUAAUGAACCGUGAGGCUUAACCUUACAACGCCGAAGGUGUUU